rnacentral:lncRNA from 1 species
GGUUAUACACCUUAGAGUGACGAACUGGUGGAGUUUACAAAUCUUGAAAAUUUCAAGAACUCCUUGAGACUUGGGAGUUGACUUCCUCCUGAAAGAAAUGUUUCAUUUCAGGUAGAACUGCUUUUCAACAACUCCGAGCAAGAGUCGCCAGGACUCUCUUGCUCUUUAGCUAUGUCCUUCAGUCCUGGUAUUUCCUGUGUUGGAUCUGAUAGAGUGAGAAAGAAACAUAGAGAUGCAGACCCAGCUAGAGCUUAGAUUGGGAUAGAGCUUACCUGCCUUCUCAACACUCCAGCAUUGCUUUUUCUAUCAAAGCAGAUUUUGCCUUGGCUCUCAGCUUCUGAAACUGUACAACGACACUGUCCAUGGUUCAUAGUGGUAUAUGUUCACCUCCCUUGCAGUCAUCUAGGUAGUUUUCAGAAACAUUUCCCAGUGGAGAAGAUGCUCCACUCUAUUGAGCAUGCUGGAGAUUUUUCUUUAAAGGAAGGGGCUCAGCAAUUUGUAAUGUCAAAGAUGAGCUGGACAGUGGGACUUGUUUAUCUCCACGAUCUGUACAAGGCUGAAAAAGUAAGAAAGAAAUGACUGAAAAUACCCAAUAUGAGGAAGAGAAAAGUGUUGUCUGUCAGGCUGAAUAAAAGAAAAACAUUUAAAAGAUGAAAAAC